GAGCGGCGGCGUUGUUUCGUUCUUCGGCAGCGGGAGCCGCGCCGGGGCGGGUGAGGGGCUGCGGGCGCGUUGUGAGAUCCUCCGGCCGGAGCCUCGGCGGGCGCGGCAGCUGCUCCGUGCCGGGGCCGGGCAGCCCCUGCCGCUCCCGGCAGAGGCGCGGGGCCGGUCCCUCUGCAGUCGCCCAGCGCUCCCCGAAACUGGCCGUGGGGCCCCGGGGGUGCCGGGCUGUGGGGUGGCCUCGGUCCCCCCGCCGCUCGGCACGGCCCGGGGAGGACGCGGAGGGAGUGGGGAAGCAGAGAGGAAUGUCAACUGCCACUAUUGCUCCAGGGUCAUCCUUUUUUCUGCUGCAACAGCACAGGACAGAUGGAGAGGAUCUGGAGUGCUCUGUGAGUACAAGGUUUUACCCUUCCCUCUGAGCCGCAUUGACUGAGCGAGAAGAGCAGCAGCAGCGCCAGGGCUGUAGCGGCAGCGCUGGGUCCCUCAGCGUCAUUCUGGUCACGGCACAGCCUGCUCCUGCCCCUCGCAGGGUGAUCUCACUGUGCUGGGAGGAAGGGGCUGGGCAUUUUCCUGCACCAGCCAGAGGUUCACUGUUAGGCUGAGAAGGUGUUCCAGGUGGCUUCGAUCAGCCUGAAGAGGGACCUGAAGCGUCGGCAUGGCUCUGGCUUUGGCAGGCUGUGUCGUGUUUCGAGCGGAGCUGUUUUCCCGGGAUCCUCCUGUUGCUCAGCGCCUGUCCUGUCCCUCGGUUGGAGGGCAUUGCCCUACUCUCUUGGGUGCUCUUCUGAUUGAUGCUGCUGAAUUCCAGUUGGGCUUUGUUGUUUGUUUUGCAGGUGCCUUUUUGUCUGUGUCUCACGCUGCUCGAUAGCUGCCCCAGCCCGGGUUUGUGGCUGGUUGGUGGAGCCACCUGAGGGGAAGGGGCCAGCCCUGGGUCUGGGCGUUUCGUGAUGUCUUUUUGCGGUGAAUAAAAAUGAAGGGUAUCUGGGGAGUGAUGAUGUG
rnacentral:lncRNA from 1 species